rnacentral:lncRNA from 1 species
CAACUAUGGUUAAAGUUAUUACUCCUUCCACCGGCACAGCAUUGCCGGUGAACCCCACCAACGGGGAGCUUAUCGGCCCUAAUCGACCAUCUGGAAUGGACAUUUUUGAGAAUGUAUCGUAAAAUAAAAUAUCGACCGAGCUUUCACUAUCAACAAGAAUGCGACGUACAUCAUAGUCAGCAAUAUUUAAAGAAACUACAACCGCAUCAUUGUGGGGGAAUUGAAUCUCCUUAGCAUCUUCUUCAAUAAAGGUUAUGGAUUCUUCAGUCC